GAUGAAGAACGUAGCGAAAUGCGAUACGUAAUGUGAAUUGCAGAAUUCAGUGAAUCAUCGAAUCUUUGAACGCACAUUGCGCCCGCCAGCACUCUGGCGGGCAUGCCUGUUCGAGCGUCAUUUCAACCAUCAAGCCUCGCUUGGUAUUGGGCAACGCGGUCCGCCGCGUGCCUCAAAUCGACCGGCUGGGUCUUCUGUCCCCUAAGCGUUGUGGAAACUAUUCGCUAAAGGGUGUUCGGGAGGCUACGCCGUAAAACAACCCCAUUUCUAAGGUUGACCUCGGAUCAGGUAGGGAUACCCGCUGAACUUAAGCAUAUCAAUAAGCGGAGGA
rnacentral:misc_RNA from 1 species